rnacentral:rRNA from 1 species
GAUGAACGCUGGCGGCGUGCCUAAUACAUGCAAGUCGAGCGAACAGACGAGGAGCUUGCUCCUCUGACGUUAGCGGCGGACGGGUGAGUAACACGUGGAUAACCUACCUAUAAGACUGGGAUAACUUCGGGAAACCGGAGCUAAUACCGGAUAAUAUAUUGAACCGCAUGGUUCAAUAGUGAAAGACGGUUUUGCUGUCACUUAUAGAUUGAUCCGCGCCGCAUUAGCUAGUUGGUAAGGUAACGGCUUACCAAGGCGACGAUGCGUAGCCGACCUGAGAGGGUGAUCGGCCACACUGGAACUGAGACACGGUACAGACUCCUACGGGAGGCAGCAGUAGGGAAUCUUCAGAAAUGGGCGAAAGCCUGACGGAGCAACGCCGCGUGAGUGAUGAAGGUCUUCGGAUCGUAAAACUCUGUUAUUAGGGAAGAACAAAUGUGUAAGUAACUAUGCACGUCUUGACGGUACCUAAUCAGAAAGCCACGGCUAACUACGUG